rnacentral:lncRNA from 1 species
ACAACAAAUAUUAAUAAAAUAUAUUUUUAUGUCAAAAUCAAAUGAAAUAAAUCUCUGGUUGCAGACUAUAAAAUAUAAAAGGAUUAAUUUUUAAAUAUAUCAAAAUUUUAUUCUAAAAAUGGCUUCUAAAUAAUUAUAAUAAAAAAAUGUCAUAAUUUUCAAUUACCAAUGAUAUUAGAACUCGUGUUUUUAUUUUUAAAAACUAGUUUUG